AAGAAGCAUUUAAGCAGGUAAAUGGAUAGGGGAGGUUUAGAAGGACACGGGGCUAAUGCAGGCAGAUGGGACUAGUGUAGAUGGGGCAUGUUGGUCGGCAUGGGUAAUUUGGGCGAAAUGGCCUGUUUCCAUGCAGUGUGACUCUAUGACUAACUCAGGACAGUCCAGGCAAAUGAAUUAUUACACCCAGCUCUUGUGCCAGCAAGCUUUUUCAUUCUACCUAAUCUCCAUUCUUUUUACUCCAGUCCAGUUCCUUUCCACUUACAAACAUGAUCAUUCAGAAGUCCU